CUGGCUAUUAGAUUCAGUUUAGAGGCACAUGGAAAAAAUAGACAUUAUUUAAGUAUCACUUCUAUAUGUGCUAUUUUAGGCUCACGUGGUUGUGUAACAGAGAGUUCUAACCUGAGUAGGAACACAGGUCAGGGGAGUAUUCUGAAGUAAACUGCGUUGAGAGUCUGCUAAAGACUGCAUCAGCAGGGAACUUGAGACUUAUUCUCUUCCAAACUAAAACAAAAACUCCACAGUGGCGUCUCUUUUAAAGGCUGCAGAAGAGCUAGUCCCUUUGGGACAAAACGAGGUUUGUCUGUGGCACCUAAAUAUAAGAGAAUUGCUUGGAUAGAAAUCUGCAAUUAUUUCAAUUUCAUUGUGAAUGACAAUUGCACUACUUGGUCUAUAUUUCAUAGUUCUCAUCUAUACAUUUCUGGGUAAGCUGAUUUCUUCUUUUGUCAUCCAUAGAUAACUUAAGAUAAUGAGUAAUUAGCCAUUAAUGUACAACUUUGGGACUUUAAAAACCUUUACCCAGUGACUACCUCCAAUAAAGCAAUCUUUAACAUUUGUUAAAAAUUAAGAUUUAGGCAUAAAUUAGGUUUAUUGAAUAAUAAUCUCUGGAGUUCGGCCUAUGCACCUGCAUUUUAACAACUUUGGAGGGAUACUUAUGUUAGUCUUUUUUUCAGAAAUUUUGAUGUAAGAUUAGAUUAAGUUGGAUUUUUUCACUUGGAUAGUUCAAACAAACAUAUAUAAAUGAAGGUAUUUCUUUAAAAACCAAAAAUGUGUCUAAUAUAUAUUCAUUUGACC
rnacentral:lncRNA from 1 species